rnacentral:rRNA from 1 species
GGUUGCAAUUAUACCAGCACUAAUGCACCGUAUCCCAUCAGAACUCCGAAGUUAAGCGUGCUUGGGCGAGAGUAGUACUAGGAUGGGUGACCCCCUGGGAAGUCCUCGUGUUGCAACCC